rnacentral:sRNA from 1 species
UAUACCCGUACAAUGUAUGGAUGGAUGGAUAUAUAAUGUGUGUGUUUGCUUGUGUUGGUGCCCUCAGAGACCAGAGGGAGGGCAGAUGGAAUGGAGUUGGAGUUACCAUGGAUGAAGAUGCUGGGAACCAAACUCAGAUCCCCUGCAAGAGCAGUAAGCAGUAAGUAACUGCUGAGCCAUGUCUACAGCCUGACACACUAGAUCCACUGUACUUAACAGCAGAACUCAGAGCUCUUCUCCUCAGCAUACAUCCUUACGGUGUGCCUCCCGGCUGUUCAAGAACCUUAGUGCAUCCUAUUGUGAGGCUAUUAUGUGAUCUUAUUUAAGAAUCCCUCGUCGAUGGGCAUUUGAGUGCUUUCCAACCUUUUGCUAAAAUAAGCAUCACGACAAUGAAUAUUGGAUGUCUGUGCCUCGCUUUAUAUGUAUUAGCAUAUAUCUGAAGGACAGUCCUGGAAAUGGGAUCAGAGGAUUAAGUAAUGUACAUUGUAUAGCGCACUCCCUGGGGGCUCUCCUAAUUCAUACCUCAGUCAACAGUAAGUGCCUGUUCUUCAAAUCAGACUCCAGCUUUUGGUGUUCACUCAGUGUCUUAUUAUGUAGCCUAGGCAGGCCUGGAACUUGCUACACAGUCGACUUUGAAUCUGUAUUCCCGACUUCCUUACCCUCCCAAGUAUGCUGAUUAUAGGGACGGACCACCACGCUGGAGCCAGCUACUGGUAGAGGGUCAGACAGGGUUAGACAGAUUAUUGGUCCAUCCAUAGACUACAGAUGGUGGCUCAGCACCCGUGUGCAGUGAGGGAGGGAAUUCCAGCACCUAAACAUUAUACGCAGCCUUGUAGAGAUCAGGAAUAGAAUUAGGAGAUGAGCUGGGUGUGGGGGUGUCACCAGCACUAGACAGGCUGAGGCAGGAGGACUGUUGAGAGACUCAGAAAGGAAAUAAAGGGGAAGGAGAAAGAGACAAAUGGAGAAAAAUAGAGUGUAGAGAAAAAAAUACACCAUGAAGAGUAGCAUGAGAGGGACACACUUCUAUUGCUGAUGAUCAUUUCAGUCAGAAGGGCAGCACAUUAUUUUAGGCUAAUUGUUCAUUUCCCUAAGUUUGGAACCACAAAGUGAACUAUAUCACAAGCCAAACUCUGAGUAAGUCCUGUAGGCAGCUAGGAAGGCAAUGGACAGUAUCACAUUUGGAAUCUAGAAGGCUUAGGUUUGAGUUCUGUCUCUCCGUGACCUUUACGGUCUUUCACUAUAACCUUGGGCAAGACACAAGUUUUCUGAGUCCUAGUUUCCUCCUUCGCAGGGAAAGGUGAAUAGAUUGUUAAACUGAAUGUCGACUAUUUCCACCACACAGUGUCCAGAACAAGACAAUCCGGAAAGUUUGGUGCUGAGGAAUUGAUAGCUACUACAUUGAGGGCAAAGUUUGAAAUUCAAAUAACGAUCUUUCGAGCAUUCUCCUGGAACCCGGAAUUUAUCAAGUGUCAGUAAGUUUUAUGAGCUGGAUUUACAGUAGAAGCUGAUGAAGAUCCUGACAGGGAGGAAGUAUGCUGAAGGAGCAACAGGGAGAACAUUCUAUUUCCACAGGAGGGUCUUGCCACCCUCCGGGGGAGGCAUAUUCCUAAGACUGCUAAGCCCCAAAGCCCCUGAUAUCACUCAGAGCCCAACCUGUGCUCUUUUCUGCUUGGCCAGACGUGUCAGUAAGAGUUUUCAGCCUGACUCAAGACUCCUAGGAGAGACAUUCAGAAGUCACAUUAACAACCUAGAACGAGGUGCUGAGGGGAGCGGAAGGGUUGAGCAGAGAGCCCUGGGGUGGAAGGAAGCCUGCACGUACAUCCCAGAGACCUUCCCAGGAGCAACUGGAUCAAGCCGGCCCCAAACGCCAGUACCUACUGCGGGAGGGGCAGUCACCGCCUCCCAGUGCUGGUAUCAAGGAGCUCCGGGUUGCCUGCGCCCGUCCCGCGGCUCCCAGCCCAUGACAGGCACAAGCUGAAGAGGUCCGACCCUCUACCUCACCAACCUGACUCCACGUCUUCUUCCAUAAGCUCAUCUGGACUAGAGGUCUGGGAAACUCGGGGUCUGACUUUUAUGUUCGAGUCUUGUCUGCUGCAGUUCCACUGGAAGCCAGGAAACGGGAAGUGCGGAGCAGAGACCAGUCCCAAACAGCUGGAUCUUGACGGACUUCACCAGGCUCCCUGGCUGGCCCUCCUCUGAGCCCUUGUUUGCUCUAAUAGGAAGAGCCCUAUGAUCUGGUGUGUGGGGGCCUACACAGCCCACAGGGCGUGCACACUAGUGCUUGCUCAGUCUCUUUGUUAUGAUCUGAGGACGGUCUCCCAGGUUCUCAUGCCUCUGUUAAUCUGUGAAACCAAGGCCAGCUUCUAUGGUUCCCGUCCUCAUUGAUAGAUGAUGGACACUUAAGGAGGGCCAGGGUUGGGGAGGAGGACAAAGCCCGCUUCUGGCUAGUGUCAGAAUGUCCACCUGGGAAUAAAGGCAACAUCACUAAUCAUACCCGGGACACAGCCAGCCACUCCAGGGUUUGCUCUGAUUUUCUCAUCGAGAAAUACAUAUUUAACACUGAGGGGUGAGCAUGUUCUCCCAGGCAUCUGCUGAGCAGUUUAUAAAGCGUUUGAAUGAGAACCUUAAGAAGAAAAAUAAAGAAAACACUUACAAAGGA